rnacentral:rRNA from 1 species
AUGCUCCCCCUCCCUGUCGGCGCUGUUGUACAUCCUUUGACUAACUAUCUCCAGUUAUUAUUUGCAGCAGUAUUUUGGUGGUUUUCUUGGCCUGGAACCGAUCUAGACCUGCUUGCCAUAGCUAAUGAUCAAAGCCUUAUCGCCUCGCGGUUUCGCCAUCCCAUCCUGAUUGCUCGAGAUCGCAGCCGCCGCCUUUGCUAUGGUCCUGGUAUGAAAGAGCACCUGAAGUUAAAUUUGUUUUUCUUCACAUGUGGUGUUGUGGCACCAAAAUUUCGAUUAUAUGUUUGUUUGAUCACCCAGCAAUUGUCAGCAAUUCAAUCUAAGUACAAGCUCCCCCUGAAGCCUUGCCCUCCCUCGCAAGCUCGAUGCUACUUAGGUCUGAGGCUCGGCUUGCUGCGUUCAAACUUCUUGGGCUGCAGCGCCUAG